AUUGAACGCUGGCGGCAGGCCUAACACAUGCAAGUCGAGCGGAUGAAGGGAGCUUGCUCCUGGAUUCAGCGGCGGACGGGUGAGUAAUGCCUAGGAAUCUGCCUGGUAGUUGGGGAUAACGUCCGGAAACGGGCGCUAAUACCGCAUACGUCCUUAGGUAGAAAGGGGGGGAUCUUCGGACCUCACGCUAUCAGAUGAGCCUAGGUCGGAUUAGCUAGUUGGUGGGGUAAAGGCCUACCAAGGCGACGAUCCGUAACUGGUCUGAGAGGAUGAUCAGUCACACUGGAACUGAGACACGGUCCAGACUCCUACGGGAGGCAGCAGUGGGGAAUAUUGGACAAUGGGCGAAAGCCUGAUCCAGCCAUGCCGCGUGUGUGAAGAAGGUCUUCGGAUUGUAAAGCACUUUAAGUUGGGAGGAAGGGCAGUAAGUUAAUACCUUGCUGUUUUGACGUUACCAACAGAAUAAGCACCGGCUAACUUCGUG
rnacentral:rRNA from 1 species